rnacentral:rRNA from 1 species
AUGCGCGUGAGUGAUGAAGGUUUCGGAUCGUAAAGCUCUGUUGCCAGGAAGAACGCUUGGGAGAGUAACUGCUCUCAAGGUGACGGUACCUGAGAAGAAAGCCCCGGCUAACUACGUGCCAGCAGCCGCGGUAAUACGUAGGGGGCAAGCGUUGUCCGGAAUUAUUGGGCGUAAAGCGCGCGCAGGCGGUCAUUUAAGUCUGGUGUUUAAUCCCGGGGCUCAACCCCGGAUCGCACUGGAAACUGGGUGACUUGAGUGCAGAAGAGGAGAGUGGAAUUCCACGUGUAGCGGUGAAAUGCGUAAUAUGUGGAGGAACACCAGUGGCGAAGGCGACUCUCUGGGCUGUAACUGACGCUGAGGCGCGAAAGCGUGGGGAGCAAACAGGAUUAGAUACCCUGGUAGUCCACGCCGUAAACGAUGAGUGCUAGGUGUUAGGGGUUUCGAUACCCUUGGUGCCGAAGUUAACACAUUAAGCACUCCGCCUGGGGAGUCACGGUCGCAAGACUGAAACUCAAAGGAAUUGACGGGGGACCCGCACCAAGCAGUGGAGUAUGUGGUUUAAUUCGAAGCAACGCGAAGAACCUUACCAGGUCUUGACAUCCUCUGACCG